CCCGCACAAGCGGUGGAGCAUGUGGUUUAAUUCGAUGCAACGCGAAGAACCUUACCUGGUCUUGACAUCCCGGAGACCCUUAGGAAACUAGGGGGUGCUUCCAUCUGGAAGAAUCUGGAGACAGGUGCUGCAUGGCUGUCGUCAGCUCGUGUCGUGAGAUGUUGGGUUAAGUCCCGCAACGAGCGCAACCCUUGCCUUUAGUUGCCAGCAGUUCGGCUGGGCACUCUAAAGGGACUGCCGGUGUUAAACCGGAGGAAGGUGGGGAUGACGUCAAGUCCUCAUGGCCUUUAUGACCAGGGCUACACACGUACUACAAUGGCCGAUACAAAGGGCAGCGACAUCGCGAGGUGAAGCCAAUCCCAUAAAAUCGGUCUCAGUCCGGAUUGGAGUCUGCAACUCGACUCCAUGAAGUUGGAAUCGCUAGUAAUCGUGGAUCAGCAUGCCACGGUGAAUACGUUCCCGGGCCUU
rnacentral:rRNA from 1 species